UGAUGCCCUUAGAUGUUCGGGGCCGCACGCGCGCUACACUGACCGGAUCAGCGUGUGCUCUCCUUGGCCGACAGGUCCGGGAAACCCGUUGAACCCCGGUCGUGCUAGGGAUAGGGAAUUGCAAUUAUUUCCCUUGAACGAGGAAUUCCCAGUAAGCGCGAGUCAUUAGCUCGCGUUGAUUACGUCCCUGCCCUUUGUACACACCGCCCGUCGCUACUACCGAUUGAAUGGUUUAGUGAGGUCCUCCGAUUGGACCCGGUCCGGGCGGCGACGUCCGAGCCGGCGUCCGAGAAGACGAUCUAACUUGAUCAUUUAGAGGAAGUAAAAGUCGUAACAAGGUUUCCGUAGGUGAACCUGCGGAAGGAUCAUUA
rnacentral:ncRNA from 1 species